CUGCAGGAGAACAUGCAGAUCAAGAAUAGGUCUCUUCAGCCACCUAAGAAUGCACCCUCAAGACCCCACAGCUGGAAGACCAUCAUCCUUGAACUACGAGGGAUUGCUUAAGUAAGUAAGUACCCCACCCCGCCAUGUUAUGCUCACAACAGCCUUACUAUUGUGAUUCUUUUACUACUAAACCUUUAGAUACACAAACAAGUUGUCUUUUACUCAUGCUUUUUUAUUUUAAAAAGUGAUGUUACAAUUCCAAUUCAGUUGUGAAAACCUUCUCAUAGUACUCAGUAACAGCACAGAGAUGUAUAGCUGGAUCACUGCAGUUAACAUUUAGAAACAAAAUGACAUCAUUUGUUGACAGUGCCCCAGUUGCUAUCUUUCUCAAUCACACCAUUUUAUUCUUUUUUCAGAGUCCCACUCCCAGCUGCUGCUGGCAUUUGCUUCCAGUAAUUACGUAAUGGUUUAAUUGUAAGCGUAUAAGCAAGCUCACUGACUUUUCACAUGACUAAAAAAACAUAGCCUGCCAGUAUUUGCAAUGUUUAUUACAUUUACAUUUUUCAAAUUUGUAUGCCCUUAGUACAAAAUUAUGAAUGUGACCAGUCAUGUUUUUGUUAUAAUAAAGCAAUAAAACUGACAAACCCAUUCAUGCACUAGUUACAUCCAGACUAGAUGUACUGAGGUUUCUUCAGUAUAAGCUUCUGAAGGUGCCAUAAAUCUAGCUGUUUUGGAAGUAGGAACUGCUUUUGAGUCUUCCUACCUGGAUAGUAACCAGUUUCAGACUCCAGACCUUUAUCAUGAUAGCUGCUAUGGCAAUGCAGCCAGUGUGAUGUCUCAUGGGCCUUGUAGUCCCGUUCCUAGUACUAUUGUGGCAGACGAAGAGGAAAACAUGGGAUUCCCACCGAUUCAGCCAGAAUCGGAGCCCCUGCACCUGCAGGAUGUUUGCCCUCAAGAAGUCAGCCAAACAAGCCUUGGGCAGAAUUCUCCCCCGUUUUCUCGAAAGGACAAUUAUAAUAGAGAUAGAGGAGCUAGGGAGGCGAAUCGCCGGAGCGCCAGAAUCGCAGCCAAACAAUUAGCUGAUUAGGUCUGCUUCCCUUGGGAAAUUCUAAGGAGUCAUGCAUCUGGACAGAGUUGGGUUUCACUUCUAGUUCUCCAGGGAAAGUGUUCUUCUGGCGGGAAACGAGACCCUAUUUAGGUGUUUUGCCGCGAAGGAAACCUUGUGGAGUCUACUCGUCAGCUUGAGGAGUGAGAUCGUGUGUGGACUACGCUACCUCAGUUCCUUGUUUCCAUGACCAAGUUCCAAGCCUGCCUUGUUCCCCGGACCUCGCCACGGACCUUGUUCUUGCUUCUUGGUUGCCUCGUAUCAAGUCUUGUUUAGCCAAGAAUCUAGUUUGUUUUCCAGCCUUGUUGUCAAGCUUCAAUGGACUAAAAGACCUUGUCAUCUCCCCACACUUUUGCUUGGCAAAGUGUGUGUUUCGGUUAUUGGAUUAUAACUUUGGACUUUAAUAUCACAUAUUGGACAUUAAUUUCCUGGACUAUAUUUGACCUUUCCUGAAAGGUCUACUUCUGAACUAUAUUCUUCACUUGUCUUUAUUGACUUUAUAUAUUCUUUUAAUAAAGAUAUUAGAUAGAA